CUGGGCGGUGGGUGCCAUGCGCCGGGAGCUUCACAUUCUCUGCUCCCGCCCACCACAUCCGCCCGCCCUCCGCGGUCACGCCUCGGACGGCGAGCACCUGCCAAGCAGUUAAAGAAGUUUUCCCUCUAGUCUUACUGAACCAUGGCACUACCUCCCGACACCAGCAAUCACAUCUUCUUGAAGCCUGAAGAGGUUCUGCCUAAGGACAGAGCUCCCCAAAGACUUCCAGAGGAAUCGAAAUGGAUAUAUGCAAAUUUUCCUUCAUCUUAUGACUUCAAAACUAUUGUCAACCCAUUAAAACUCUUUUCCUUGUU